UACGUAGGAUGCAAGCGUUGUCCGGAUUUAUUGGGUUUAAAGGGUGCGUAGGCGCUCUAUUAAGUUAGUGGUGAAAACGUUCGGCUUAACCGGUAACCCGCCAUUGAUCCUGAUAGACUUGAGUGCGACAGAGGGUGUUGGAAUGUGUGGUGUAGCGGUGAAAUGCUUAGAUAUCACGCAGAACACCAAUUGCGAAGGCAGAUGCCUAUGUCGUAACUGACGCUGAGGCACGAAAGCGUGGGGAGCAAACAGG
rnacentral:rRNA from 1 species